AGCUUUCUUCGCGCGGGAGCUCGACCCGCGACUGCCGAAGUAGUGGAGUUCAUCGACAAACACCGGGACCGCUUCGGGGUCGAGCCGAUCUGCCAGACGCUGCAGGUCGCCCCG
rfam:Chloroflexi bacterium 13_1_40CM_4_65_13 13_1_40cm_4_scaffold_3069, whole genome shotgun sequence.